UGGGGAAUAUUGGACAAUGGGCGAAAGCCUGAUCCAGCCAUGCCGCGUGUGUGAAGAAGGUCUUCGGAUUGUAAAGCACUUUAAGUUGGGAGGAAGGGCAGUAAGUUAAUACCUUGCUGUUUUGACGUUACCGACAGAAUAAGCACCGGCUAACUCUGUGCCAGCAGCCGCGGUAAUACAGAGGGUGCAAGCGUUAAUCGGAAUUACUGGGCGUAAAGCGCGCGUAGGUGGUUUGUUAAGUUGGAUGUGAAAGCCCCGGGCUCAACCUGGGAACUGCAUCCAAAACUGGCAAGCUAGAGUACGGUAGAGGGUGGUAGAAUUUCCUGUGUAGCGGUGAAAUGCGUAGAUAUAGGAAGGAACACCAGUGGCGAAGGCGACCACCUGGACUGAUACUGACACUGAGGUGCGAAAGCGUGGGGAGCAAACA
rnacentral:rRNA from 1 species